UACGAAGGGGGCUAGCGUUGCUCGGAAUUACUGGGCGUAAAGCGUGCGUAGACGGUUAUUUAAGUCGGGUGUGAAAGCCCCGGGCUCAACCUGGGAAUUGCAUUCGAGACUGAAUAGCUAAGGUACGGUAGAGGGAAGUGGAAUUUCCGGUGUAGCGGUGAAAUGCGUAGAUAUCAAGAGGAACCCCUGAGGUGAAGACGGGUUGCUGGGCCGACACUGACGCUGACAGCGCGAAAGCCAGGGGAGCAAACGGG
rnacentral:rRNA from 1 species